AAAGGUGCAUGAGUGGUGUUUGGUUUGUUACGGGUGGUUGGCUCUUUGCUUGCGCAACAACUUCCACCUGGCAUACCUCUUCAGUCUUGUGUCAAUGCUUGCAUUGCAUUGAAUGCACGGUGGGUUUCUUGUGUUGCAUUCCUAAUUGAUGGUAUCAUUUGAUGAAUUGAUGUCCAUUUUCAUCUUGUGUUGCGCAUGCGAUGUGAGAUGAACCUUAAAGCAGCCUUUGUGAUCCACUCUUUUGAUGCACACGCAUUGAUUUUGUGGCCCAUUGAGUGUUGCUUGGUCUCAUGGAUAUGGAACCUUGUGUGGGCAUGGGAUCUUUUACUAGUUCCUUGUUUGCCCUAGUUAAGUUUUUCAAAUACGAUUUCCUAUCAUGUCUUAACGUGGUAGGCUAUAUCGAAUAUGAAUGCUACCUGGUUGAUCCUGCCAGUAGUCAUAUG
rnacentral:misc_RNA from 1 species